UACGAGGGGGGCGAGCGUUGUUCGGAAUUAUUGGGCGUAAAGGGUGCGUAGGCGGUUUGGUAAGUCUUGUGUGAAAUCUACAGGCUCAACUUGUAGUCUGCACGAGAAACUGCCGGGCUUGAGUGUGGGAGAGGUGAGUGGAAUUCCUGGUGUAGCGGUGAAAUGCGUAGAUAUCGGAAGGAACACCAGUGGCGAAAGCGGCUUCCUGGUCCAGCACCGACGUUCAGGCACGAAAGCGUGGGGAGCAAACAGG
rnacentral:rRNA from 1 species